CUUGGUCAUUUAGAGGAAGUAAAAGUCGUAACAAGGUCUCCGUUGGUGAACCAGCGGAGGGAUCAUUACAGAGUUGCAAAACUCCCAGCCCUUUGUGAACGAACCUACCAGUUGCCUCGGCGGCGAGCCUUUCAGGCGGACCGCCGAAGGAAUACAAACUCUUUGCAUUAUAGUAUCUCUGAUUACUUAUUCAAUAAGUUAAAACUUUCAACAACGGAUCUCUUGGUUCUGGCAUCGAUGAAGAACGCAGCGAAAUGCGAUAAGUAAUGUGAAUUGCAGAAUUCAGUGAAUCAUCGAAUCUUUGAACGCACAUUGCGCCCGCUAGUACUCUGGCGGGCAUGCCUGUUCGAGCGUCAUUUCAACCAUCAAGCCCUAGGCCUGUGUUGGAGCCCUGCGGCUGCCGCAGCCUCCUAAAAACAGUGGCGGGCUCGCUAUCACACCGAGUGCAGUAGUUUACUCUUCGCUCAGGGCGUGUGGCGGGUGCUGGCCGUGAAACCCCCUACUUCUUAAGGUUGACCUCGGAUCAGGUAGGAAUACCCGCUGAACUUAAGCAUAUCAAUAAGCGGAGGA
rnacentral:rRNA from 1 species